AGAGAAAAAAGCAUCGAAAGCAGCAUUACCCUCACCUAGUGCAACAAACACAAUCUCAAGCUGUUUUUGGAACUCCUUGUAUAUUUCUUUCAAGUCCGCUAUUGUAACAUGAUAAAGUAGAUGAGGAUCGUGCAGCCACCCACAGUAGAGAACAACAAAUUUGCCAGAGAGUUGAGCUUUAAUGUCAACCUAAAGAAAAU
rnacentral:lncRNA from 1 species